rnacentral:rRNA from 1 species
UACGGAGGGGGCUAGCGUUGUUCGGAAUUACUGGGCGUAAAGCGCGCGUAGGCGGCUUUGUAAGUUAGAGGUGAAAGCCCGGAGCUCAACUCCGGAACUGCCUUUAAGACUGCAUCGCUAGAAUUGUGGAGAGGUGAGUGGAAUUCCGAGUGUAGAGGUGAAAUUCGUAGAUAUUCGGAAGAACACCAGUGGCGAAGGCGACUCACUGGACACAUAUUGACGCUGAGGUGCGAAAGCGUGGGGAGCGAUCCGG